rnacentral:sRNA from 1 species
ACUACUAAACCAUCCGCGAGGAUGGGGACGGAAAAGCCACAGGAUCUCCAGAAGACAGCCGGGUCGCCGAA